UGUACCAGUACAGCAGUUCACUGAACUGGACCCAAAACACAACAUCAGGUUAGGUAUACAUAUGUCAUGUCAAAAUUUCUAAAGCUUACUUCAAUUCAGACAUGACAGGGACAUGCGCAUUAGAUGGGCGUGACAGAAGACUGUAUAGAUACUCGUUAAAACUUUUUAUAAUGUUACCUCAUAAAAAAAAUGAAACAAAAAGAAUAAUGAUAGCACAUGAAAUAAAUUGGAAUUUAAAUUUGACAAUAAAACUUGGCCUUGACUGACUGUUUCUUUGCAAAUGAAUAAAGGAUAAUAUGAGAUAUAAUUUGGAAUUUAUAUGGUAAAUUAAUCUAACGAAACAACCCUAACUACAAUGAUGCAUUACAACGAAAAAUAAUGAGAAAUAUAUCAACAUUUUACUUACUUGGAAAGGCAAAACACGCUGGCAUUAGACUUUCUUUAUGUGGAAAGAUAAAUGUAAUUUUGAUAUCAUCGCUAUUCCAAAAAAAAUGGUCUUAGCUAGUGUUCCUUGUUUUAGUUAUAUAUCUGUUCCAUUCUUUUCCAAAAUCUCGUUCCAAAUCCGCCACUUAGAAAAAAAAAA
rnacentral:lncRNA from 1 species